AUACCAAAGCUAGCUUAGUCACCUUGCAUUGCAGAAACUGAGACAGAGGGUGGCUUGUGCCUUGCCCAAGUGAUGUAGCCAGUCACCGGCCUAACAGGGGCAAGCUCUCAGGAAUCCUGGCCCAGUACCCUGUGCACAGCUGCCAAGUGGGAGUGGCUGUGAAUGCCGAGGACUCUGGACAGCCAAGAUGCAGCCAAGUCCUCUCUGGACUUCUAAUCACAGCAGUGCUGAGAGGCAAGCGCAUAGAGGCCAUUGCUCAAAUGCUUGAGGAUUCAGAGGAAAAAGCCUACAGGUGCAGAGGCCAGAGAGGAAGAAAGGCUAUGAGGAAAGGCUGCUCAAUAGGAGAGCUGCUUUCUGCAUACUGCUGGCUGGGGCCUGUGCAACCAGAAGAAUGAACCUGGGGUUCACUCUGAGUGCCCCAGCAGCUCCAGAAGAUGGGCUGCUACAGAGAAGAGAAUAUAGGUGAGAGUGUGGACUGGAGAGAAAGGACCAAGCUUCUCCGCCAGUCAUCAAGAGAAUUCCACUUUCCUCCAGGCUCUGGGGAUCAGGUGUCUGCAGUCUUGACAAGCUCCCAGGUGCUGCUGUCCCUGCUGGUCCCAUGACUGCCUUUGAGAAGUGGAGGUCUAGCCUUGGAGGAUCAGAAUCACUGGCGUCACCUGAGGGCAGUGCCCAGUAAGGCAGAUGCCUCCACCUGGACCUUAUCCCUGAGCGUCAAGCCUGUGUGAGGCGCACCUGCCGUCUGGCUGGAGGACCAGGCCCCGCGUGUUUGCUCCAGCAGCACCAGCACCACCAGGAGGGUGAAGCAGACUAGCUGUCCUCACUCAGGAGGCUGAUGGGACAAAAGGGCUUGGUUGACCCCACAGAUCCAGGCAUGUCUUGCGCUUCCACCUACAUGACCACUCUAACCCUGAGGCCAUCAAGAAUGAGAAGUGGCCUUUCUCCACAAAAAGCUGAGAUGGUCGACCCCAGAUUCCUCUCCCCUCAUUCCUGCUUCAAACAGAACGAGCUUUUUCAAAAGCACCUUCACUUCUCAACCAAGAUAAAAAGGUUGGAAGCCAACAGUGUCCUUAAAGGGCUUCAGCAGAUGGGUUGAAAUUCAGAAUCUCCUCGAAGUAAUGCAGAUUCCCUCCACCCCUUUGGAAAAUGUCUAAUUAAAAACAAAUAAAAAUUAAAAAUCAG